CCUGUGUAUUCAUUCACAUAACACCACACAGACAUGACACACACAUGCAUAGCACACAUAAUACAUAUAGACCACACAAUUAUACAACCUCACAGAGUAAGUUUUCUUGAUAGCUCAGGUUGAGGUUUCAGGAGAUACAUAAGACAUCCAAGAGAAUGACCCAAAGGUAUUUUUCAAAAAGUUGUGAUCUCAGUACAUUUCAAUUUUUCACAGUAUUCACUGAGAGAAAG